rnacentral:rRNA from 1 species
AGCUUGCUUUANAUAUGUUAGUGGCGGACGGGUGAGUAACGCGUGGGUAAGCUGCCUUAGACAGAAGGAGAGCGAGUGGACACGCUUGGUAAUAGCACAUANAGCCUAAGCAUAGCAUAAUGAAUACGUGAAAGGAGGAAUCCGGUUUAAGAUGGGCCCGCGUACAAUUAGCUAGUUGGUGAGGUAAGAGCGCACCAAGGCGACGAUUGGUAGCCGAACUGAGAGGUUGAGCGGCCACAUUGGGACUGAGAUACGGACCAGAGUCCUACGGGAGGCAGCAGUGGGGAAUAUUGCGCAAUGAGGGGAACCCUGACGCAGCGACGCCGCGUGAAGGAAGAAGGUCUUCGGAUCGUAAACUUCUAUGAUUAGGGAAGAGGAAGGACGGUACCUAAAGAACAAGCCACGGCUAACUACGUGCCAGAAGCCGCGGUAAUACGUAGGUAGGCAAGCGUAGUCCGGAAUAUACUGGGUGUAAAUGGCGAGUAAUGUGGAUCACUAAGUCAGAGGUGAAAACCCAUGGCUAAACUGUGGGAUAGCAACUGAAACUA